GUUCUGUCGAGUUGAUGGGGUCUUCAUUGGUGGAGGUCAGCGGAGGUACCCCGCACCCUCGAUCUCCAUGAGGAUUUGAGCUUGAAGGCAAUCAAUGGGGUAUAGCUAUUAUAGCGUCAAGGCGACUCCUCAAAUGUGGAGCUUUCGUUUUUCGGGAGGUUUUGCUUCAACCUCAUUCGAGCGUGUGUCCUCCCCUGCACACUUCUUGGAAGCCCGAUCUUCCUAACGGGCGAUCUGACCCUAUUCGACCUGCAUGUAAUUGCAAGCCCGGGCUAGAAGAUCGGUAUAAUCCCUCGAAUACAUCUUAUCGAGGGAGUAGAUGAGGCACUCGUUGCAGAAGCCUCACUUCAAAACCGACAUGACGACAGCUUCAUCCAGGUUGAGCACUUCCAACGGGGCCACAUUAAAUCGCGCCACAUAAUCGCAUAGAGACUCUCCCUCUUCCUAGUAGAGGGAGAAGAGGCUAUCCGAGAUCCUCAGUUGGACUCGAAAAUUCUCGAAGUAUCAAGUUCAUGCCUUCUUCAGAGUCGUAAGGAAGACGAGGCAGAGAAGGACGUUCGAAUACUUCUACUUGUUCUGUCGAGUUGAUGGGGUCUUCAUUGGUGGAGGUCAGCGGAGGUACCCCGCACCCUCGAUCUCCAUGAGGAUUUGAGCUUGAAGGCAAUCAACGGGGUAUAGCUAUUAUAGCGUUAAGGUGGACUCCUCAAAUGUGGAGCUUUCGUUGGUCGGGAGGUUCUGCUUCAACCUCAUUCAGGCGUGUGUCCUCCCCUGCACACUUCUUGGAAGCCCGAUCUUCCUGACGCGCAAUCUGACCCUAUUCGACCUGC
rnacentral:lncRNA from 1 species